ACGAAGCUCUCCUAAGGUCAGAGGUCCAGAGACUUCCCAGCCCUCUCCGGUUCCCUUGGGGAACAUCUGGAACCUGCUCAGCCAGAUGCUGUCAAAGUCUCCCGACUAUGUUGUUUUCGUCUCCCCUAUCUGCUUUAUUGUCUUGUCACUCGGCUCACUGAUGUCAGAUUUUGUUUCUGACUAUACUCACCCCCCUCACCAGAAUCUCGGGAACAUUGUCUAUCCUGGAAAACCGCUAAUGUCCUGCCAGCUCCAACGGCCAGUCUUUCAAACUGGCUGGCCGUUCGAGGGCUCACUUAACCUGUGUGAUUUAUCUGCGGUGUGAAAUGUUAUCUUCGGAUUCCCUGGGCAUCCAGACCGGGUUCCACACUUGGGUGCCUGGAUUUUCCUGGUGGAGAAGCCCCCUCAUGUGUUCCCAUUGGGGAAGCACCUGGACAUGCUGGUCUGUUCGUGUCUGUCAAUGUGUUUACGGUUUCAGUUAGUUCGAUUGUUGUUCUGUGUCUGAUACUCAGAAAAUGGGCCAAACUUAGUCUGCUGGCCAUUCACCCUUUUGGACUUGGACAGGACACUAGUCCCCAAGCGACGCGCUCUGUCUUUGAAAUUCAGCUUUAUCGGUCUCUCUCCAUGUCAGUUUAUUCUUCAUAUUCUGGGGAAAAGGCCAAACUUCAUCUGCUGGACUUAGUUUUAACUCAUUUCGAGGCUUUUCAGGAAAGAGAAGAUAGCUGAACUGAACUAUCCCUGCCCUUGGAGCCCCGCAUCUGCGCAAGCCCAGAAUCUCCUACCCAGAUCAAGCUGGCGGCAGGCCUGGAGCUGCCUGUACAAGCUGCUCUUAGAGGGGCACCGCGAGCUCCCCAGCUUCUCUCCUGAGAAAACUCAUGGCUGGUUCUGCUACAAAGCCGCUGUGGUCACGAGAACUGGAUUCAACAGUUAGCAAGGCGCUCCUCCCUUGAAAUUACAGCUGGAAGAAGGAAGAGAAGUUUUGUCUGUCUGUUUUGAAUGUGUAAAUGUAUGUAUGGACACUGCACGUUUAUUUCUGACCGGCCUUAAAUUUGAGUACUGCUUGUGCCAUGCUGUCCCUCCCAGUGUUAGGGAGAUGUCCUUAUCUGGCUCCUGCACUUUCUCAAGAACAAGAUAAUCAGAGCAAAGUAAACUUACAAAGUUUGUUUAUACGGUAGAUUACAUUGAUGGAUUUCCAUAUAUUGAACCACCCAUGCAUGCCUGGGAUGAAGCCUA